AACGAACGCUGGCGGCAUGCCUAACACAUGCAAGUCGAACGAGACCUUCGGGUCUAGUGGCGCACGGGUGCGUAACGCGUGGGAACCUGCCCUUAGGCUCGGAAUAACUCCCCGAAAGGGGUGCUAAUACCGGAUAAUGUCUUCGGACCAAAGAUUGAUCGCCUUUGGAUGGGCCCGCGUUGGAUUAGCUAGUUGGUAGGGUAAAAGCCUACCAAGGCGUCGAUCCAUAGCUGGGCUGAGAGGAUGAGCAGCCACACUGGGACUGGGACACGGCGCAGACUCUUACAGGAGGCAGCAGUGGGGAAUAUUGGACAAUGGGCUAAAGCCAGAUCCAGCAAUGCCGCGUGAGUGAUGAAGGUCUGAGAGUUGUAAAGCUCUUUUACCCGGGAUGAUAAUGACAGUACCGGGAGAAUAAGCUCCGGCUAACUCCGUG
rnacentral:rRNA from 1 species